rnacentral:misc_RNA from 1 species
GAUGAAGAACGUAGCGAAAUGCGAUACUUGGUGUGAAUUGCAGAAUCCCGUGAACCAUCGAGUCUUUGAACGCAAGUUGCGCCCGAAGCCAUCAGGUUGAGGGCACGUCUGCCUGGGCGUCACAUAUCGUUGCUCGAUGCCUAUCGCAUUGCGAUAGGACUUAGGGCGAAUGAUGGCUUCCCGUGAGCGUUGUUGCCUCGCGGUUGGUUGAAAAUCGAGUGCAUGGUGUCGGGUGUACCAUGAUGGAUGGUGGUUGAGUGAUGAUGCUCGAGACCAAUCAUGGGUAACUCCACCAGAAUUGGGCUCGGUGACCCACAUGCGUCCCUUGGAUGCUCCCUAAGGAGACCUCAGGUCAGGCGGGGCUACCCGUUGAGUUUAAGCAUAUCAAUAAGCGGAGGA